rnacentral:rRNA from 1 species
GCCGCAGUGACGGCGAGUGAAGCGGCAACAGCUCAAAUUUGAAAUCUGGCUUCGGCCCGAGUUGUAAUUUGUAGAGGAUGCUUUUGGCGAGGUGCCUUCUGAGUUCCCUGGAACGGGACGCCAGAGAGGGUGAGAGCCCCGUAUAGUCGGACACCUAGCCCUGUAAAGCUCCUUCGACGAGUCGAGUAGUUUGGGAAUGCUGCUCAAAAUGGGAGGUAUAUCUCUUCUAAAGCUAAAUAUAGGCCAGAGACCGAUAGCGCACAAGUAGAGUGAUCGAAAGAUGAAAAGCACUUUGAAAAGAGGGUUAAAUAGCACGUGAAAUUGUUGAAAGGGAAGCGCUUGUGACCAGACUUGUGCCGGGCUGAUCAUCCAGUGUUCUCACUGGUGCACUCGACCCGGCUCAGGCCAGCGUCGGUUCUCGCGGGGGGAUAAAAGCGCCGGGAACGUGGCUCCUCCGGGAGUGUUAUAGCCCGGCGUUUAAUACCCUCGCGGGGACCGAGGUUCGCGCUCUGCAAGGACGCUGGCAUAAUGGUCAUCAGCGACCCGUCUUGAAACACGGACCAAGGAGUCGAGGUUUUGCGCGAGUGUUUGGGUGUAAAACCCGCACGCGUAAUGAAAGUGAACGUAGGUGAGAGUUCGGCGCAUCAUCGACCGAUCCUGAUGUAUUCGGAUGGAUUUGAGUAAGAGCGUAAAGCCUCGGACCCGAAAGAUGGUGAACUAUGCCUGAAUAGGGUGAAGCCAGAGGAAACUCUGGUGGAGGCUCGCAGCGGUUCUGACGUGCAAAUCGAUCGUCAAAUUUGGGCAUGGGGGCGAAAGACUAAUCGAACCAUCUAGUAGCUGGUUACCGCCGAAG